rnacentral:lncRNA from 10 species
GAAGAAACAUCCUCAAUGUCCAACAAUAGGCAAGUGGCUACAUUAAACUGAGGUUUAGCCAGAUCAUGAAAUACCAGGCCAGGCCGGGCACGGUGGCUCAUGCCUGUAAUCCCAGCACUUUGGUUCCCCAUCCUUUGUGGCAGGAGUGAAAUCACACCAAUUGCUGUUUUCAGGUUCCACUAGUGUCUCCUUAUCUUAUGCCACAGUCGGCCUGCCUGACAUUUUCUACUAGGGCAUGUCCUGAAGCUAUUCAUUUGUUUAAAGUUAAAAGUGCUACUCCAGUGAACACAUGAGUGAUAAAAAAGUGAACCAGCCGGAUUUUUGAUAUGGUGAAACUUUUAGUCAUCUGGACGGAGGGUCAAACCAGCUACAACAUGCUUCUACGCCAAAGCCUAAUUCAGAGCAGGGCCCUACCUCUACUUAAGUCUAUGAAGGCUGAGAGAGGUGAGGAAGCUGCAGAGGAAAAGAGAAAAGUUGGAGCCUUAUCUCAGCUCACUGCAAGCUCCACCUCCUGGGUUCACGCCAUUCUCGUGCCUCA